rnacentral:rRNA from 1 species
UCGAGAAUCAUUCACAAUGGGCGAAAGCCUGAUGGUGUGACGCCGCGUGGAGGACGAAGGCCUUCGGGUUGUAAACUCCUGUCAAGUGGGGGUAAGGCUUGCCGUUUAACUGACGGUGAGAUUGAUAGUACCACUAGAGGAAGGGACGGCUAACUCUGUGCCAGCAGCCGCGGUAAUACAGAGGUCCCAAGCGUUGUUCGGAAUCACUGGGCGUAAAGGGUGCGUAGGCGGCGGGGUAAGUCAGAGGUG